UACAUUAAAGUCAAUAGGACCUUUAACAAUAAAAAAGUAAAGCCAAUCACAGAAAGUGCUCAGGAAUAGUAAUUUGAACAGUGGGUAUUUAACAUGCAGUUGUGUCUAAUUGAUGUUUUUAAAAUUUUUCAAUGGCAAAAAAGUUAUACACUUGUUAGUAGGAUCAAUUCAUUGUUGGUUUUUGGUCUUUUAAUGUGAUUUAUCGACAAUAAGAUAGAUAAAGAGUAUUCCCGGCCAAAUCCUUUUAACUCAAGCUUAAACAUAUUCCGACAAUGAUUUCUAAAUGGUAAAUAAUAUAACCAUUUGUCUGUAAUCAGCAGCCACUUGACAGUUUGUGGUAUUUAAGACUCUUAAAUUCCUGUCAGAGAUGCAUUUGUGAUGAAAAUACAAGGGGCUUAGUGAAAGCUAAUAGGACACUCAUUUUGGUUGCUGAUUCCCUAAUUUGCAUAUUAGUUCCAUGCUUUGCUUUGUUGUGUUCUGUGAAGGAACCUUCACCAUUAUUAUCGUGUUGAUGUCACCUAGUUCUACAUUCCGUACACUGUGAAUUUGAGGUGCUUUUGUAGAUUCUCCAUCACUUGGUGUCUGAAAGCUCAGCUAUCCAGUCCCUCUGAAAAGACAGUUGUUCACUUGUUCACUGCGUUCAGCAAAAUUGUUUAUUCAAACCUGUUCAAAACUCAAACAUGGAAGCCCACAUCAUUUUUCAACAAGUCCAAAAGAUGAGACCAUCCUGCUUCUCUGUAGAAGAGCAAUGUUGCUACAAAGCAGAGAAAAUGAUGCUGAGGCAGUUUAUGCUCUUGAAGCAGCGGGGGCAAGUUCCACGUUAUUUAUCUGUCAGAGACAUGAAGACCUGGCUGUUGAGAGGAAGAAGCUUCCUGGAGGAGUUUCUGGAAACAAAUGAG